rnacentral:rRNA from 1 species
UACGUAGGGUGCAAGCGUUGUCCGGAAUUAUUGGGCGUAAAGAGCUCGUAGGCGGUCUGUCGCGUCUGCUGUGAAAACUCGGGGCUUAACCCCGGGCCUGCAGUGGGUACGGGCAGACUAGAGUGUGGUAGGGGAGACUGGAAUUCCUGGUGUAGCGGUGAAAUGCGCAGAUAUCAGGAGGAACACCGGUGGCGAAGGCGGGUCUCUGGGCCGAUACUGACGCUGAGGAGCGAAGGCGUGGGGAGCGAACAGG